rnacentral:rRNA from 1 species
UACAGAGGUCCCAAGCGUUGUUCGGAUUCACUGGGCGUAAAGGGUGCGUAGGUGGUGAGGUAAGUCGGAUGUGAAAGCUCGGAGCUCAACUCCGAAAUGGCAUUGGAAACUACCUUGCUAGAGGGUUGGAGGGGGGACUGGAAUACUUGGUGUAGCAGUGAAAUGCGUAGAUAUCAAGUGGAACACCAGUGGCGAAGGCG